UACAGAGGGUGCGAGCGUUAAUCGGAAUUACUGGGCGUAAAGCGCACGUAGGUGGCGACGUAAGUCGGGUGUGAAAUCCCCGGGCUCAACCUGGGAAUUGCAUUCGAGACUGCAUUGCUGGAGUACGGAAGAGGAGGGCGGAAUUCUCGGUGUAGCGGUGAAACGCGUAGAUAUCGAGAGGAACACCUGCGGCGAAGGCGGGUUGCUGGGCUUAAACUGACGCUGAGGCACGAAAGUGUGGGGAUCAAACAGG
rnacentral:rRNA from 1 species